rnacentral:misc_RNA from 1 species
UGAUUCUUUCUGUUCUUUUUUUUUUAAACCAUUUUCUCUUUCCUUUACAACAAAACAAAAACAGAGUCCCCUAUUCAAUUUCUUUUCUUUGUAUUGCUUUUCAAUUUCAUAAAACAGAAUAUUUCCCGCUUUUUUCUCUCCUGGGACAUGAGAAAUAGAGCUUGAAAGUGCUAAUUGAUUCCCUUCUCUUCAUGGGACAUCCUCUGUGAAGCCAUAGAAUUAUCAUGCAAAGGAUCGCCAGCAAAUUGCGACAAGAGAGAAGAAUCUCUAGAACUAGAAGAGUUGAAAGAUUUCUUGCAAUGCAGGAUGGCGCUUUGGAUACCGUCAUGCUGCAGAAGCAGCGAAUCAUCUCUCCUAGUUACCGUUGACGGGAGAACCGUGGUCGCCGCCGAUGCGGAUUUGCUCUUUCCCAGAUGCUUACAGACCACUCGAAUCCCUGCUGGAAUACUCCCCUGUUUCUCCUUCUUCGGCGAACCAGAAGGCAACGUCGCCGGAGAAGAUGACGGCGAUGGCACUUGUAACUCCCCUGAGAAUUUCGGCUUGUCGCUUUGCCUUUUGGAAACUUUGAUGUAAGGCUUGAUUAGCUUCAAGUACUUUUGUAUCACUUCCUUAGAGAAUCUCUUUGACGAAUCAACAGAUAAUGAAUCGUCCGAGAUCUGUUUUCUCGAACUGUUUUCCCUUGUGAACAUAGGAACGUUUGCAGCUUCAUUUACCUUGAAUUUAACAGCGACAAGCUUGUUUUCUUGCUUUUGGUUCUUUGGGGUGUCGACAAAGACGCCCUUCAACUCUGCUUCCCCCGUUUUUCCUGCUUCAUGCUCUGCCACUGACUUUGAUUUCUUGAACAUAAGGACUCGAAAUCUUGGAGCUGAUUUGAGGGGGGAGAUGGGAGACUGAGGUUUUGAGAUGGGCUCAAUAGGAAGGAUCUUUCUUUUAGAGAGGAGAUCAGUAGGAGACAGAGAAACAGUUGGUGGUGGAAAUUUGUGCUCGAUAUUGCCGGCUUUGUUGGCCGAGUUGUGGAGAGUUUCUUGCUUAGAGUCAAAAGUGUUACUAUCGUUGUCUAGUGGGAUGCUAUUUUUGUUUUUGCAUUUAUUGUUGUCAAAAUCAGGCACAGUAAGCUCCAAUUCAAAGAAGGAGUCUUCCUGAUCUUCAUUGAACUCAUCAUCUGUGUCGACCACAGUUGUUGCAAUCUCGGUGGUGUCACUAUUUCCAUUAGAGGGCCGAUGAUCUUUGUUGUGGGUGGUGAUGGGUCUCCAGAACUUGAGGAAAUACAGAACUUCCAUGGCGAAAAAGAAAGAGAGAGAGGAGGCUUUGAGAGAAAUGGUAGUGAAUGAGUGAGUGACUUGUUUAGGACUUUGAAAGGAGGGUUUUUAUAGUGGGUGCAAAGAGAAAGACGGAACGUGUGGAGUGUACGAGAUAGAUACAGCUUUUGCACUUCGUAUUAGGCUUGUGAUUGUGAAUGUUGCAGCAUUGAAAAUGGCGUUUGAAAGGAAGCAGAGAGAGUAAAGCAAGCUUUUUUCUGCUUUUGCAAUGGAGAGAGAGAGAGAGAG